rnacentral:rRNA from 1 species
AUUGAACGCUGGCGGCAUGCCUUACACAUGCAAGUCGAACGGCAGCGCGGACUUCGGUCUGGCGGCGAGUGGCGAACGGGUGAGUAAUACAUCGGAACGUACCCUGUUGUGGGGGAUAACUAGUCGAAAGAUUAGCUAAUACCGCAUACGACCUGAGGGUGAAAGUGGGGGACCGCAAGGCCUCACGCAGCAGGAGCGGCCGAUGUCUGAUUAGCCAGUUGGUGGGGUAAAGGCCCACCAAGGCGACGAUCAGUAGCUGGUCUGAGAGGACGAACAGCCACGCUGGGGCUGAGACACGGCCCAGACUCCUACGGGAGGCAGCAGUGGGGAAUUUUGGACAAUGGGCGAAAGCCUGAUCCAGCACUGCCGCGUGUGUGAAGAAGGCCUUCGGGUUGUAAAGCACUUUUGUCCGGAAAGAAAUGGCUCUGGUUAAUACCUGGGGUCGAUGACGGUACCGGAAGAAUAAGGACCGGCUAACUACGUGCCAGCCGCCGCGGUAA